AUGGAGAAACCGCGAAUGGCUCAUUACAACAGCUAUAGUUUAUUAGAUCUUACUCUACUUGGAUACCUGUGGUAACCUAAGAGCUAAUACAUGCAACAAAGUCCUGACCGGAAGGGAAGGACGCAUUUAUUAGAACAAAACCAAUCGGGCUUGCCCGCUUUUUGGUGAAUCUGAAUAACUUUAUGCUGAUCGCACAGUCCACGCACUGGCGACGUAUCUUUCAAAUGUCUGCCUUAUCAACUUUCGAUGGUAGUUUACACGGCUACCAUGGUUUUCACGGGUAACGGAGAAUUAGGGUUCGACUCCGGAGAGGGAGCCUGAGAAACGGCUACCACAUCCAAGGAAGGCAGCAGGCACGCAAAUUACCCACUCCCGGUACGGGGAGGUAGUGACGAAAAAUAACGAGACGGUUCUCAAAGAGGCCCGUCAUCGAAAUGGGUACAAUUUAAAUCCUUUAACGAGGAUCUAUUGGAGGGCAAGUCUGGUGCCAGCAGCCGCGGUAAUUCCAGCUCCAAAAGCGUAUAUUAAAGUUGUUGC
rnacentral:rRNA from 2 species